UUACUUGAAGCAGAAGGACUAGGAUGACAUUCUGGAGCUACUUGGCAGUUCUCUAUUUCUUGCCAUAACUUGGGCAAAAACAUCCAGUUACAAUUUUACUCAUGGAUCUGAAUGUAGAUUUAAAAACAAAGGAACAGCUGCUUAUUGUAAUCAUAAUAUCUUGGACAAUCUUGCUCUUGCUUUUGAUAAUAUUCUUCAUAAAAUUAUGUAUCGCUUCCUAUGUUUUUUGGCGUGAAAGGUGGACUACUUCCCACUUUCACUAAAUAGAAUCAACAAUUUUGGAAAAUUUCAAAAUAAGAAGACACACAAGCCAACAAGGAUGAUCUCUGAAUAAAAUGAGCUCACCAUC
ensembl:lincRNA 1700036O09Rik RIKEN cDNA 1700036O09 gene